UCGAAGCCUCGGCUCAUCACGUAACAUCACUAGUGGUUCCUGAGGACUGUAAUUGAGAAACACUGGAUUAACCGAAGGCCCAGAGAACAACAGGCCCUGUGUAUGAGCUGCAGAGGACCGAAACGGACUUGCAGGAUGAUGGAAGAAAAUCAUGAGCAACAGCAGAAAAAGACAAGCUGAGAAUGAAGCAGCCUGUGUGUUCAGAGAUAACAGCUAUCAUCCAUCUCUGGAUUUAUGGGAUGUUAUCUUUUCCUUCUAUCUCGAGAUUAUGGACGAUGGCUCUGAACCCCACUGUGGACAGAUGGGGUGAUGGGAGUGGAAAGCAGAAGUGGAAGAGCAGGGGGUUCAGGACAGAGGAAGAUGAUGAAGAAAUUUUAAAAUUUGUAGCAAGUAUCUUAUGAUUAGGAUGGAAUUGAAUUGGGAAGAUAUACGAGUGUCCAAAAGAAGAAACUGACAAUCCUUAAUAACAUGAGCUUGAGACAUAUAGAGCCAGAAUAGUUUCUUGGAUUUCUUGUUGGCUUUUCCUUUCAAUCAAGUGACAAUAAAACACUGGAAGAAGUGUUGGAUAUUUACCUUAUUUAUUGCUUCUACAAAACAAUUAUGAGCAGCCAAAUUUUUUUUGACAAAAAAACGAACAUGUUCAUAAAAUAAGAUAUUACAUAAAUACUAACCCAAUUAAUUACAAGUUCUCUAUAAGAUUUAGGUCUGUACUUUAGCUGUGCCACUAAAGAACAUCUACCACGUUGAAUUCAAACCAUUUCUGUGCAGCUAUUGCUAGAUGCUUUGACUUUUUCAUGGUGAUCUCAUCAGACCAAUGAACUCUCUUCCACUUGACCAUAGAUUCUCCCACGUGCCUUUUGGCAAAUUCUAGUUUCAUCCUCAAUCUGAGUUUUCUUCAAAGCUUUGAAUGGUGAAGAACCCAAGCAACAGUUGUUGUCUGUAGAGUUUCUCCAUUUCAGCUGCCUGAUGUAGGCAGAUUUACAUAUGUAGCAUAUUCCUUCCAUUUCAUUAAGAAGGAAUGUUUUUGCAUCCAUCCCCUGACACAUACUUUUCAGUAACCUUUUCUCUAAUUUACUUGGAGUUUUCUUUUGUCUUUAUGCUGCAAUGGUAUCCAGGAAUACCGAUUAACCAGUGAGACAGGUUUCUUUAUCUUGCAAUCACUUGAGACAGCCACAACACUCAGCGGAUGUCCAUUUCACUCCUUGUGAGACUGGACACACGUUUCAUUGGGCCAAUAACUUUAAAAGUGGUGAAUAAUGAUGCAACCACCUAUUUUACAUUACGUAUUUUUAUUUAUGUGUCAUUUUUUUGUAGAAACCAGGUUUUACCUAAACAUUAAAGGACUUCAUAAAAAAUGCCAUAUUUUUAAAUAAAGAUUAUUUUUGCAAAAUCAAUAAGAAAGGUAAGACGUCCAAGGAGAUGAACACAAGGUGCUUCAUCUGUACAUAUCUGUAGAAAAACAACCUAUUCUGAUUGGCUGCUGACUGACAGGCAUGAUAUGUUACCAGUAACGUUAGCUGACAUUUCUCCUGCAGUCAUCUCUUCAUCUUCAGCACCACAUUCAAUUAAGAAAUGUUCUCAGUUUGUAUCAUACCUGAAAAACUGUUGAAAAGACUAAAACAUUUUUUUAUUAAUGGUUAUCCAGACUUUCUAAUAGUCUUUUUCUUUUUCUAGUAGGUAAUAUCCCCUGAAUCAAAAGGCUCCUAAACUACAGUGUUUAACCAGUCUCAUGUCAACGCAUAACAGAUAACAUGACAGUAAAUUUAGGGGUUUUGAAACACCGCCCUGCAAAUGGGGAGUAUACUGGAUUUUUAUUCCUAGAAUGGGGCUUGUUAGGGCAACACUUGAUUUUAUCAAAUGUUUUGUGU